AUUUAUGGAACAAGGCACAGUGAUUUCUG
rnacentral:piRNA from 1 species